rnacentral:rRNA from 1 species
UCCUACGGGAGGCAGCAGCUAAGAAUCUUCCGCAAUGGGCGAAAGCCUGACGGAGCGACACCGCGUGAAUGAUGAAGGCCGUGAGGUUGUAAAAUUCUUUUCUAGCUGAGGAAUAAGCAUUAUGCGAAAGUGUAGUGUGAUGACGGUAAGCUAGGAAUAAGCCCCGGCUAAUUACGUGCCAGCAGCCGCGGUAAUACGUAAGGGGCGAGCGUUGUUCGGAAUUAUUGGGCGUAAAGAGCACGUAGGCGGAUUAACAGGCAAUAUGAUAAAGGUCACAGCUCAACUGUGGUUCAUUGUGUUGAACCGUUAAUCUAGAGUUAUAGAGAGGAAACUGGAAUUCCUGGUGUAAGGGUNNUUUCNNAGAUAUCAGGAAGAAUAUCAGAGGCGAAGGCGAGUUUCUGGCUAAUAACUGACGCUG